rnacentral:rRNA from 1 species
ACGCUAGCUACAGGCUUAACACAUGCAAGUCGAGGGGAAACGGCAUUGAGUGCUUGCACUCUUUGGACGUCGACCGGCGCACGGGUGGGUAACGCGUAUCCAACCUUCCCAUUACUGUGGGAUAACCUGCCGAAAGGCAGACUAAUACCGCAUAGUCUUCGAUGACGGCAUCAGAUUUGAAGUAAAGAUUUAUCGGUAAUGGAUGGGGAUGCGUCUGAUUAGCUUGUUGGCGGGGUAACGGCCCACCAAGGCGACGAUCAGUAGGGGUUCUGAGAGGAAGGUCCCCCACAUUGGAACUGAGACACGGUCCAAACUCCUACGGGAGGCAGCAGUGAGGAAUAUUGGUCAAUGGACGGAAGUCUGAACCAGCCAAGUAGCGUGCAGGAUGAUGGCCCUAUGGGUUGUAAACUGCUUUUGUAUGGGGAUAAAGUUAGGGACGUGUCCCUAUUUGCAGGUACCAUACGAAUAAGGACCGGCUAAUUCCGUGCCAGCAGCCGCGGUAAUACGGAAGGUCCAGGCGUUAUCCGGAUUUAUUGGGUUUAAAGGGAGCGUAGGCUGGAGAUUAAGUGUGUUGUGAAAUGUAGACGCUCAACGUCUGAAUUACAGCGCAUACUGGUUUCCUUGAGUACGCACAACGUUGGCGGAAUUCGUCGUGUAGCGGUGAAAGGCUUAGAUAUGACGAAGAACUCCGAUUGCGAAGGCAGCUGACGGGAGCGCAACUGACGCUUAAGCUCGAAGGUGCGGGUAUCAAACAGGAUUAGAUACCCUGGUAGUCCGCACAGUAAACGAUGGAUGCCCGCUGUUGGUACCUGGUAUCAGCGGCUAAGCGAAAGCAUUAAGCAUCCCACCUGGGGAGUACGCCGGCAACGGUGAAACUCAAAGGAAUUGACGGGGGCCCGCACAAGCGGAGGAACAUGUG